GAUAUAUAUUUCAAAUUUCCCCAAUCUUAUUGUUGAAACAGAACCACGUUACUUAGCAAUUUUCUAGUUCCAGGUGACAGAAACCUGUCACCAAGAAGUUGAACUUAAAGAAGAAAAAAGAAAUAUGUGUUCUCAUUAACAGGCUGGUGAUAACUUUAGACAUUGCCUGACCUAAGAUUUCAAAGUCAAAGUUUGGGGCCUGCUGCUUUAUAAGACUAAUCUUGUGAGACUAACCCAGU
rnacentral:lncRNA from 1 species